GGGAUAGGGGAUGUGGUGCUGGGAUGAGAGUGGAGUUGCGUGGAGCUGCUGGGGUUGCACCCAUCUAUGGUGGUGUGUUCAUACUGCAGAAUUUAUUGCCGUAUGUAUGCAAAUGUGCCAUGCAAACAUAUGCAAAUCCUGAUCCUUUAUCAGCUGGCAAGAUAUGGUUAAGCACUAUAACGUGGAAGCCCAGCAGCCAGCAGAGGAGCGCUGCAGGGCAGUGCCGGGGCUCAGCUGCCAGCAGCACAGGGUGGGAAUGCUGCACGUUGCCCUUGUGUUACAGCAGCAGCAAGAAGUGCUUUGCUUCAUCGUUUAGUACAUGCAGUCAUGCAAUGAGGCGAUGCCACCACUGGUGCUUUGGUUGACUCUCCUUGCAGCUCCAGGUGUGUGGGGGGGUGCACUGGCCAUCAGCUCAUAUUGCUCCUGUACUGACUCAUUUAUCUUUUGGUGCUCAUUUUCCAGCACCACGUGGAAAUGCUUGAGCAGCCACUCCAACCUUUCGGCUGCAAUAACGAGCCUCACAUGGCAUCUGAUUGGCAACAUGUGGUCUAGUGCUGCAGGGAAUGGAGGUGUAACGUUCUGCUACAUGUAGGCUCUGCUGGUGCAUCUCUGGUCUCAGUUGGAAGCAGGUGAGUCAAUGCGCACCUUGAGACUAUGUUUUGUGUCCUUGUUGUAUGCUCCUUGGUUGCAGAUUAGCCAUUUGUAGGUGCAGAUGGCUGAAGCUUUCCAGGUCAGCUUUGUAUUUGGUUUUCCUCUGCCCUAAUUGAGAGCAGAAAUCCAAUUAGACGAUCAUGCUGUCCUCAUUGAAGUCCCUGGCUAGAGAAUCACAUUGUGUGGGAUGGUGGAUGUUGUGCUGGUGAUGGGACCAACCGGCAGCAGUGAGAUUCUGCCCAGCUGUAGAUUAUGAGACACAAUUCUAAAGCCCUUCUAUUGUAACCCAUGUCAGUGUGCUGUGCCUUGCUGUUCCUAUUAGAGACAGCAGAUGUUCAAACAAGGGCUGCAGCACGUGCAGCCUCCUUGCCUGUUAGGUAGGACUCGUGCUGGAAGGAUGGCUGCUGUCUGAAGGGGCUCCUGUUGGUUUGUACAGAUGCCAUGGGUGAGGGGGAGGAGAGACAGAUUUGAGCAGUUCCCCAGCAGCAGCCCCUUUGGAAGUGGUGUUUUCUUGGUUCAGAGACCUCAGGGCCAGUGAUGAGCAACCCUUGCUUAAGGUGCUGAGAUUUGCUGCAUCUCUUUUCUCUUCUUCUGUCUGGCUGUAGCAAAACAGGAAAUGGCACAAAAUUAGCUCGGCAUCUGAGCCUUCCAAAAGCCACAGCAUGGCAAUUGUAGGCACCACUUGUUGCUUUUUUCCUACCCUACAGCUGCCAAGCGGUAGGGCAGCAGUUUGAUUUGGUGUCUCAGCCUGCUUGCUGUGGGAGAAAGCAAG
rnacentral:lncRNA from 1 species